GUCUAAAUAGUUUAAAAAAAAUACCAGGUUGUGGAUUUGGUGAUAUAAGGAUCUUAUUUUGGACA
rnacentral:tRNA from 1 species